UCUCUUUACGCGAAUUGGGGUGAAAACCCUAGUCGGGUGUACAGCCAGACUCAAAUUUAUUGAGCGGG
rnacentral:sRNA from 1 species